rnacentral:rRNA from 1 species
AGCCAACGCUGACGGUAGGCCUAACACAUGCAAGUCGAACGAAGUCUUCGGACUUAGUGGCGGACGGGUGAGUAACACGUGGGAACGUGCCUUUAGGUUCGGAAUAACUCAGGGAAACUUGUGCUAAUACCGAAUGUGCCCUUCGGGGGAAAGAUUUAUCGCCUUUAGAGCGGCCCGCGUCUGAUUAGCUAGUUGGUGGGGUACUGGCCCACCAAGGCUACGAUCAGUAGCUGGUCUGAGAGGAUGACCAGCCACAUUGGGACUGAGACACGGCCCAAACUCCUACGGGAGGCAGCAGUGGGGAAUCUUGCGCAAUGGGCGAAAGCCUGACGCAGCCAUGCCGCGUGGAUGAUGAAGGUCUUAGGAUUGUAAAAUCCUUUCACCGGUGAAGAUAAUGACUGUAGCCGGAGAAGAAGCCCCGGCUAACUUCGUGCCAGCCGCCGCGGUAACAC